rnacentral:rRNA from 1 species
CAGAGGGUGCAAGCGUUGUUCGGAAUCACUGGGCGUAAAGCGCGCGCAGGUGGGUAUGCAAGUCUGCAAGUGAAAUCCAGCCGCUCAACGGCUGGGCUGCUUCGGAUACUACAUGUCUAGGGACCGGUAGAGGCUGGUAGAAUUGCAGGUGUAGCGGUGGAAUGCGUAGAGAUCUGCAAGAAUACCCGUGGCGAAGGCGGCCAGCUGGGCCGGGUCCGACACUGAGGCGCGAAAGCGUGGGGAGCAAACAGGAUUAGAUACCCUGGUAGUCCACGCCGUAAACGAUGGGCACUAGGUGCCGGGGGGAGCGACCCCUUCGGUGCCGCAGCUAACGCGAUAAGUGCCCCGCCUGGGAAGUACGGCCGCAAGGCUG